GAGGCUCUGGGUGGAGGCUCCAGCGGCAGAACUUGUUGGCCUGGGUGCGCCGGCAGGAAAUGCCCUCCCGCCGUCCCCAGCCAGCCUUUGCUUGCUUCCCACGCCAGCCGCUAGAGGCCUCCCUGUCCUCGCGGACGCAGGAACUCCCCGGGGGCUGGAAAGAUGGGGCCCACCUCACUCACCCCUUUCCCGGGGGUCGGGCGUUUCUGGAGCCCCCACCGCACACACCCAGGGAAGAAGGGGGAAAUGCCUCUCAGGUGUUGGUGCCUGCGCCCCAGCUCCACCUCCCCAUCGUGUCUGCUCAACACCUUACCUCCUGAAUCCAGCCCCCAGGCGGCCUCUUGGUGCCCCAGACGCUGAUCGGUCCCCAAGUCUGUGUGAGGGGGAGUCAGCGCUGUGUGAAGCCGCCCUUUGUCCUCCUUCCACUACUUUUCUCUGGUAAAAAAGAUUCAAGAAGCACCCUGGAAAAACCUGCAGUUACCCUAGUCUCAGUUUUGGCCUGGGCUGGACCACAAGAGCCCUUGGCUAUAUAAAUUCACAGUCCUCUCCGGUCUCUGCCCUCAUCCUCGGGUCCUGCUCUUAUUUCCUGCUCUCCAUGCAAACACUGAUCCUCCCAGAUGUGCAUCGCAGAGGCCAGAUAAACACGCAAAGGAGCUCCAGACUUUGAGACCACAGUGAGGCUUCCCCACCACCACCACCUACACACCCUGUACCCACAUGAAGUUCAAGUCAACCACAUGUAUCGGGUGCGUACUGUGUGCCAGGCACCGUGCCAGGACCAGGCUGUGCCUCUGCUCUCAGGGAACUCACAUCCUAGGGUGGAGAGAAAGAAACGUGAACAGAUGGUCACUGCAAUUCUGCAAAUGCAGCACGGGAGAACCAUGGAAGGCGGGUGAGGACAGGGGACACCUAGCCCUACUUGGGCAGCCCUGGAGGAUUGGAAAACACUCCCUGCAGUAGCGAGGCUCAGAGGAGUUUGGAAAUGAGGAAAUGAGGCCGCAGAAUGCAGGAGGGGGUAGAUUAUGCAGAUCUAUGGCCAGACCAAGGGAGUGGCCUUUCUUUUUUUCUUUUUUUUCUUUUCUUUUUUUUUUUUUUUUUUUUUUUUGAGACGAGGUCUCUGUCUCCCAGGCUAAUGUGCAAAGGCAUGAUCAUGGCUCACUGCAGCCUCAACCUCCUGGGCUCAGGCCAUCCUCCCGCUUCAGCCUGUAGGAGUAUUUGGGACUACAGGCAUGCACCACCACGCCUGGCUAAUUUUUAAAUUUUUUUUUGUGGAGAUGGGUUCUUACUAUGUUGUCCAGGCUGGUCUGGAACUUCUAGGCUCAAGCGAUCCUCCCACCUCAGCCUCUGAAAGUCCUGGGAUUGCAGGUGUGAGCCACCGCGCCUGGCUGGGAGUAGCCUUUUUCUUGCAGGCAGAGGGUGCCUUUGAGGAACCCUGAGCAGGAGUGAGCUGUGCUGAAACCUGGCAGCUGCACGUUGGAAGCUAAAUUAGGCGUACAAGGAUACAAGACCCUAUUGGGAGACCACAGGCGUGGUCCCAAACAUGGAGGAUGAAGACCUGAACUUAGGCAGAAUAAAGAGGAAAGGAAGGGGCCGGGUGCAGUGGCUCACACCUGUAAUCCCAGCACUUUGGGAGGCCGAGGCGGGCAGAUUGCCUGAGCUCGGGAGUUCAAAACCAGCCUGGGCAAAAUGGCGAAACCCCAUCUCUACUACAAAUUCAAAAAAAAAAAAAAUUAGCCUGCCGUGGUGGCAGGCGCCUGUAAUUCCAGCUACUCAGGAGGCUGAGGCAGGAGAACCACUUGAACCCGGGAGGCAGAGCUUGCAGUGAGCCGAGAUCACACCACUGUACUCCAGCCUGGGCGACAGAGCAAGACUGUCUCAAAAAAGAGGAAAGGAAGGAGGGAUGGAUGUGACAUAGGAGAUAAACUUGGCAGGAAGAGGUGGCUAGCUGGCCCUGGGGGCAGGAGUGGAGGAGUUGGAGGAAGGUGAUGUCUUCUGGCUUUGGAGAUGUCAGAUGUGAAAAUGUCUCUACUAGAGCCUGGUGUGGGGCAGAGAUUCCCUGUUUGCUUGUAACACACACACACACACACACAAUCACUCCAGAGGAUGUAGGGAAACAGGCCUGUAAACUGGUGCAACCUCCUUGGAAAGUGAUUUGAGAAUAUCCAUAUGUAUAUAAAAAUUUUUUUUUUUUUUUUGAGACAGAGUCUCGCUCUGUUGCCCAGGCUGGAGAGCAGUGACCUUCGUUUACUGCAACCUCCACCACAUGGGUUCAAGCGAUUCUCCUGCCUCAGCCUCCUGAGUAGCUGGGACUACAGGUGUCUACCAUCACACCCGGCUAAUUUUUUGUAUUUUUAGUAGAGACAGGGUUUCACCAUGUUGGCCAGGCUGGUCUCAAACUCAAACCUGACCUUCUGAUCCACCCGCCUUGGCCUCCCAAAGCACCGGGAUAACGGGUGUGAGCCACCGCACCUGGC
rnacentral:lncRNA from 10 species